rnacentral:rRNA from 1 species
UACGGAGGGUGCAAGCGUUAUCCGGAUUCACUGGGUUUAAAGGGUGCGUAGGCGGGCAUUUAAGUCAGUGGUGAGAUACCUGAGCUUAACUUGGGAACUGCCAUUGAUACUAUUUGUCUUGAAUGUCGUGGAGGUUAGCGGAAUAUGUCAUGUAGCGGUGAAAUGCUUAGAUAUGACAUAGAACACCUAUUGCGAAGGCAGCUAACUACGCGAAUAUUGACGCUGAGGCACGAAAGCGUGGGGAUCAAACAGG